CUCAAAUCGAACAAACAAAACCAAGACUCUCUUUCUACUCUCUUCAAAUCUUCAAUCAAUUACCAUGGAGGGACGAUGUUGAUAGCGAUCCAUUCAUUACCACCGACUACAUGGGAUAGCCAUUUUGACGAGGUCACCAGACUAUACAAUUCUUGCAACGGAUGUGGAAACUGGUUCUGCUAUCGAUCGUCUUGGAAAUGCUCAGGAGUCUCUCUCUGCUCUUCUUAAUCGGUAUUCAAGAGUGCUCAUUUUGGUUAUAUUCUGAACAAUCAUAUCUUCAUGUGAUGCAGGGAUUAAGGUUAUAAACUUGACCGCAUCUACCAUUGCCUUUGGAGAUGAUGAAGAUCUGGGAUACCAGACAACUAUGUUGCUGCAAUUCCUUUAAUGCUUAGGAGGCUUACAUCUCCGACAUGACUUUUUCAGCUUAUUCCAUGAAACUCCUGGGAACUAGGUCAUCCUUCCAUUUUGUUGU